rnacentral:rRNA from 1 species
UACGGAGGGUGCAAGCGUUGUCCGGAUUUAUUGGGUUUAAAGGGUGCGUAGGUGGUCUUUUAAGUCGGGCUUGAAAGCCGGCGGCUCAACCGUCGGAUGUGGCUGGAAACUGGGGUUCUGGAAUGGGUUGGCGGCUGCCGGAACGGGUCAUGUAGCGGUGAAAUGCAUAGAUAUGACCCAGAACACCGAUUGCGAAGGCAGGCAGCUACGACCUGAUUGACACUGAGGCACGAGAGCAUGGGUAGCGAACAGG